GGCCCCGGCCAUAGCACCCCUGCCACGCCCGGUCUCAUUCCGAACCCGGAAGCUAAGGGGGGUGCGCCGUCCUGAGUACUGGGGUCUGCGGCCCCGGGAAAAGGCGGUGCUGGGGCCA
rnacentral:rRNA from 1 species